UGGGCUGUGGCUCAGUGGCAGAGUGCUUGCCUAGCAUGCAUGAGGCACUGGGUUCAAUCCUCAGCACCACAU
rnacentral:tRNA from 1 species